GAGCGGAGUGAAGUUGGCGCGCAUGCGUACGUCAGUUACAGGCGUUGCGCCUGCGCGUUUGACGCUUUACACGGCGGUGGUGUAGUCGUGAUCCGAUUAACAACUGUCUUUACUUGUGUUUUGUACGAGCAAAAACAAUGUGAAAAGUGGUUGUUAAUAAUAUUUUCUUAUUAACUUGUAUCCUUUCUGACUUAAUUACAAUAAAAUCGAUCGUAGACGUGAAAUGUGAGGUUUGUUUACCCUCGGUGUGUCGAAGUGCUCAGUGAUGAAGGUGCCCAAGUCGCGAUAGUGCACCACGUUCGAACAUUGCAAAAAGGAUACAUUGAGAAAAGAAAAUGCGGAUCAAGACAUUCACAGAUUAUCGCCCGAAUGGUACGUUUACAAUCCAUCA
rnacentral:lncRNA from 1 species